ensembl:lncRNA
GCUGCAGAGCGCUCAGUGCAUGCGGCUCCCAGACAUGCAGCGGGGAGCCCGGCCGCUGCCGCAGCCAGUUCCGGGCAGUUCGGGGCCAGGUCUUCAUCCAACUCCUCUACCUGCACCGCCACACCCACUUCAUUAAUUUGGGGGGCGGCGGGCACCGAACAGGGACAUUUGCCCAGUGGCAUCUCUGGCUGCGCCUGCCUCUCCCGAGCCUAAAGCCUUCCCACCUCCUCCUCCACACGCACCUCCGCGCCCCCCGCCCACACCGCGAAGAAGGGGCGAGAAAGAAAUACGCAUUAAGAUCACAAGCCUUCCCGCACCAUCGCUCGCCCCCUCAACCACCUGUCUCUGCGCUCUCCUCCCCCACGGCCUUCCUCAACUCCGGGGCGCCCCCCCUCUGCAGCAGAGGGGGGCACCACGCCCACUGCGGAGCCCAGAAGCGGAAGGCCGACCUCUCCGGCUCCAGCUUCAGCGCAGAGCGGCUCCUGCCCACCGCGUCUCCCAAGGAGGUCCCAGAGCCUCUGCGUGAGUCCCCGAUUCUCCCGUCUGGCGCUCUGACCUUGCCUCCCUUAUUGACCUCAAGGCGGUGGAGGCCGUAAUUAUCGAUGGCGAGAACUCUCACUUCUCUAUGGUGUCAGAGGGCUUUGAGAAGAGCUGGCCUCCAGCAGCCUGGCUCUCCAGCUUCAUCGCUAGUGAUUUCCUCUCCUCUCUCAUACUUUUCACAUGAACAUCCAGCUCCAGACAAGAUGAAGCAGAUCCACUUUCUCCCUCUUCCUCUGGUUAAGUGCUUCCUAACAUCCCGAACAUCACAGAUACAACAAACAUCUGAAAAGCAAAGCAAAGGCUAGGGACCCCAGGACUCAAGGAGUGACAUGGCACCGAGGUGGUAUCAACAGAGCCCGAGAUGGGUUGCUGAACUUCUGCUCUGGUCCAGCAAUAACGAGAAGCCUGCCACCCCUCAAGUGUCGACGGCUGCAUGGAGACCCUGGACUUUUACCCCCACCUGGCGGUAACCAGGAGGUCACCCUCCACCCCGCCCCACCCUGCCUGGCAGAGCAGUAGGAAAGGGGCCCUGCGGAAACAGAUCAGUCUCAGAACACAAUACCUGAAGUGUCCAAGAUGCAAUUUAAAAUCACUCAUGAUGCCAAGAACCAGGAAAAUUUCAACUUGAAUGAGAAGAGAUAAUUAGCAGAUGCCAACACGGAGAUGACAGAGAUGUUGGAAUUAUCUGACAAGGAUUUAAAAACAACCAUCAUCAACAUGCUUCACUGAGCAAUGGUAACAUUGCUCAAUAACUUAAAGGAACGAAUAGCAAGUCUCAGCGCAGAAAUAAAAGGUGGAAAGAAGGCUCAUAUCCUUUACUUGGGCCUUAAAAGCGCCACUCGUGUUUCCGGGAUGACCACCCUCACCUCGUGCCUGGGCCAAGGCGUCUGCCUCUUCUUAGAACACCCAUCUCUCCUUUUUAAAUCCUGCUUGUCCCGGGGGUCAGCUGAGAUGUCACCUCCUCUGCGAAGCCUUCUUUGACUUCCAUGCCCCUUCCUCCUGAAAGCUCCCCACGCCAUAGCACUCACACUCAACUCCAAUUAUUCUGUCCUCUCUCCCUCCACACCUACCCAGUGUAAAAACUUGCCAGAGAGACUGUGUCUUAUCCCAGGUGCCUGGUAUAGCACCUGGCUUAAGCACUCAGAAAACUGUUGAAUAAAUGAAUAAAUCUGUGAAUAAAUGGAAACUCUGCC